rnacentral:rRNA from 1 species
UCGGAGCGUAAACUCCUUUUAUCAGGAAAGAAUAAUGACGGUACCUGAUGAAUAAGCACCGGCUAACUCCGUGCCAGCAGCCGCGGUAAUACGGGGGGUGCAAGCGUUACUCGGAAUCACUGGGCGUAAAGGACGCGUAGGCGGAUUAUCAAGUCUUUUGUGAAAUCUAGUGGCUUAACCACUAAACUGCUUAGGAAACUGAUAGUCUAGAGUAGGGGAGAGGUAGAUGGAAUUCUUGGUGUAGGGGUAAAAUCCGUAGAGAUCAAGAAGAAUACCCAUUGCGAAAGCGAUCUGCUGGAACCUAACUGACGCUGAGGCGUGAAAGCGUGGGUAGCAAACAGGAUUAGAUACCCUGGUAGUCCACGCCCUAAACGAUGUAUACUAGUUGUUGCUUUGCUAGUCAAGGCAGUAAUGCAGCUAACGCAUUAAGUAUACCGCCUGGGGAGUACGGUCGCAAGAUUAAAACUCAAAGGAAUAGACGGGGACCCGCACAAGCGGUGGAGCAUGUGGUUUAAUUCGAAGAUACGCGAAGAACCUUACCUGGACUUGACAUCCUAAAAACAUCUAAGAGAUUAGAAAGUGCUAGUUUACUAGAAUUUAGUGACAGGUGCUGCACGGCUGUCGUCAGCUCGUGUCGUGAGAUGUUGGGUUAAGUCCCGCAACGAGCGCAACCCACGUGUUUAGUUGCUAACAGCUCGGCUGAGCACUCUAAACAGACUGCCUUCGUAAGGAGGAGGAAGGUGUGGACGACGUCAAGUCAUCAUGGCCCUUAUGUCCAGGGCGACACA